GAUUUGUAUUAUUUGCUGGAAAGCAUUUCACGUAUUAUAUCAUUAAUUGUGUAAGAUGUAUGUGAUAUAUCUUUAUUAAGGGGGGAUUCUAGUGUAACGGGUAAAAAAAAUUGAAUUUUUUUUUGCAUAAAUUAAAAGUAUAACAUCUUAAAAAUACGCUCCUACAGUUUUAAAGUGGAAUUCUCAAAAAUAAAGAAGUUAUAGCUCUGUUUAGUGAGACGCGUCAGAGUUCCAAACAGCAGGCAGUCGACCGGUAGGUACAAGAGCCUAACGGAUCGAUAUUUAGGGUCGGCUAUUGUUAUGUUUAAAGAUCUGUCCAAAGAUGAAUUAUUACAAAGAUGUUUAGGUGGAUACACUCAAAAUUGUAACGAAAGUUUUAACGCAUGCAUUUGGCGUCUAGCUCCGAAACAUCUCCACUGUGGUUCGAAGACUAUAGAAAGUGCUGCUUAUCUGGCUACCGCAAUAUUUAAUGAAGGUUUUUUUCCAAUAUUAAAAAUGAUGGAAACAAUGGGCAUUAUUAUUGGACAACAGAACAAAACAUUUGCCGAAUAUCAUAAUGACAAGCGACUAUUGAAUGCACACCGGCGUAGCUUAGAAAGCACUAAAGAGGCUCGUACAGCCAGAAGAAUAGAGAAAACGGUAUUACAAGACUUUUUUGAAGAAGAAGAAGGUUUAAUGUAUGGGGCCGGAAUAGCAGAAUAAACGUUCAAGUCGAUUUUUCAGCGAUAACCGGGAGGAACAUUACAACGCCCGCCAAUGGACGGGAAAUUUCAGAGAGGGGUCCAGAUUAUUUAUUAUAUAUUGAAAUUAAAUAAUGCAAACUGAAAAUAAUUAAAAUUUUUUGAUACCGUAAGAAGGUCUCUUUUUAUCCCAAAAAGUUUUAUUUGGCUAUCAUUAAUAGUUUUCUA